rnacentral:rRNA from 1 species
UACAGAGGGGGCAAGCGUUGUUCGGAAUUACUGGGCGUAAAGGGCGCGUAGGCGGCCUUCUAAGUCGAACGUGAAAUCCCCGGGCUCAACCCGGGAACUGCGUCCGAUACUGGAAGGCUUGAAUCUGGGAGAGGGAUGCGGAAUUCCAGGUGUAGCGGUGAAAUGCGUAGAUAUCUGGAGGAACACCGGUGGCGAAGGCGGCAUCCUGGACCGGCAUUGACGCUGAGGCGCGAAAGCCAGGGGAGCAAACGGG